rnacentral:rRNA from 1 species
CGAUGAAUCUUCUAGCUUGCUAGAAGUGGAUUAGUGGCGCACGGGUGAGUAAUGCAUAGGUUAUGUGCCCUUUAGUCUGGGAUAGCCACUGGAAACGGUGAUUAAUACUGGAUACUCCCUACGGGGGAAAGUUUUUCGCUAAAGGAUCAGCCUAUGUCCUAUCAGCUUGUUGGUGAGGUAAUGGCUCACCAAGGCUAUGACGGGUAUCCGGCCUGAGAGGGUGAUCGGACACACUGGAACUGAGACACGGUCCAGACUCCUACGGGAGGCAGCAGUAGGGAAUAUUGCUCAAUGGGGGAAACCCUGAAGCAGCGACGCCGCGUGGAGGAUGAAGGUUUUAGGAUUGUAAACUCCUUUUGUUAGAGAAGAUUAUGACGGUAUCUAACGAAUAAGCACCGGCUAACUCCGUGCCAGCAGCCGCGGUAAUACGGAGGGUGCAAGCGUUACUCGGAAUCACUGGGCGUAAAGAGUGCGUAGGCGGGGUAAUAAGUCAGAUGUGAAAUCCUGUAGCUUAACUACAGAACUGCAUUUGAAACUGUUACUCUGGAGUGUGGGAGAGGUAGGUGGAAUUCUUGGUGUAGGGGUAAAAUCCGUAGAGAUCAAGAGGAAUACUCAUUGCGAAGGCGACCUGCUGGAACAUUACUGACGCUGAUGCACGAAAGCGUGGGGAGCAAACAGGAUUAGAUACCCUGGUAGUCCACGCCCUAAACGAUGGAUGCUAGUUGUUGCCUUGCUUGUCAGGGCAGUAAUGCAGCUAACGCAUUAAGCAUCCCGCCUGGGGAGUACGGUCGCAAGAUUAAAACUCAAAGGAAUAGACGGGGACCCGCACAAGCGGUGGAGCAUGUGGUUUAAUUCGAAGAUACGCGAAGAACCUUACCUAGGC